AAUGAACGCUGGCGGCGUGCUUAACACAUGCAAGUCGAGCGAGAAAGACCCUUCGGGGGCGAGUACAGCGGCGGACGGGUGAGUAACACGUGAGAACCUGCCCUUUAGUGAAGAAUACUCUCGAGAAAUCGAGCUUAAUACUGCAUAAGUCCCUUCGGGGAGAAAGGCGUCUUUUAUGUCGCCGCUAAUGGAUGGGCUUGCGGGCUAUCAGCUUGUUGGUGAGGUAACGGCUCACCAAGGCGACGAUGCGUAGCCGACCUGAGAGGGUGAUCGGCCACAUUGGGACUGAGACACGGCCCAGACUCCUGCGGGAGGCAGCAGUGGGGAAUAUUGCACAAUGGGGGAAACCCUGAUGCAGCAACGCCGCGUGAGUGAUGACGGCCUUCGGGUUGUAAAGCUCUGUCUUCAGGGACGAUAAUGACGGUACCUGAGGAGGAAGCCACGGCUAACUACGUGCCAGCCGCCGCGGUAAAAC
rnacentral:rRNA from 1 species